rnacentral:rRNA from 1 species
GUGAACGCUGGCGGCGUGCUUAACACAUGCAAGUCGAACGGUAACAGGAAGUAGCUUGCUACUUUGCUUACGAGUGGCGCACGGGUGAGUAAUAUAUAGUUAAUGUGCCUCGAAGACUGGGAUAGCCACUGGAAACGGUGAUUACUACUAGAUACACCUUUUUAACAUAAGUUAAAUCGUGAAAUGUCUUUUCGCUUCGAGAUCAGACUAUAUCCUAUCAGUUAGUUGGUGAGGUAAUGGCUCACCAAGGCAAUGACGGGUAGCGGUUCUGAGGGGAGGAUCCGCAACACUGGUACUGAGACACGGACCAGACUCCUACGGGAGGCAGCAGUGAGGAAUAUGGCACAAUGGGGGGAACCCGGAUGCAGCAACGCCGCGUGGAGGAUGACGCAUUUCGGUGUGUAAACGCCUUUUAUAGGGCAAGAAAAUGACGGUAGCAUAUGAAUAAGCACCGGCUAACUCCGU